AUGCUGAGUUUUUCAGCAUUCCCACCCCUACCCAGCACCUGCUGUUCCUUAGCAAAGCAAGGUGGUUUUGUAACAUUUUUGAUGGAGAUCUGCUGGGAGCAUUUGAUCUUUAAUAGCUUCUGUACCCUACUCUGCUUUUUCCUCCCUGUUCUUUCAGAGGAGCUGGCUCUGGGCAGCACCACCUGUGACAAGGGUGAUGGAGGGACAGCACCAGAGCAUCCCUGGGGGCUGCAGCCAGAAGAAGGUCCUGUGAGACACAGCCUGCAGCAAAAAGGGGUUCCUGUCCUGAGCCAGCUGGGAGAGGUGACAUCUGAUACUGGCUGCAUCCCUGAGGCUGAAAGCACCAGUCCCCAGCUGGCAUCACGGAGGCCGAGAUGUCUCUCAGGGCAGCAGAGAGCAAGGUCCAAAGACUUUCCAAGCCUGGCUGGAAAGAUCUAA
rnacentral:lncRNA from 1 species